GGAGGUAGUGACAAUAAAUCACAAUGCGGGACUAUACGUCUUGCAAUUGGAUUGAGAACAAUGUACAACUCUUAUCGAUAAGCCAUUGGAGGGCAAGUCUGGCGCAUGCACCCGCGGUAAUUCCAGCUCCCAUAGCGUAUAUUAACGUUGUUGCAGUUAAAAAGCUCGUAGUUGAAGUGUGGGUGAUCGCUGUUGUGAGACUUCGGUCUCUCGACAGUAAGUCACCCCCUUCCAGUAUCCAGUAGUGGGUAUUCAGUUACUUACUAUUGUGUGUUGGUCGUUUACUGUGAGAAAAUUAGAGUGUUCAAAGCAGGCGUUUGCUUGAAUAGAUUAGCAUGGAAUAAUAAUUGAAGGCUUUCGUGUUCGAUUUGAUUGGUUUGUUCAUGGAAGCAAGGUUAAAAGGAACAGUUGGGGGUAUUCAUAUUCACUAGUUAGAGGUGAAAUUCUCGGAUUUAUGGAAGAUGAACAAGGGCGAAAGC
rnacentral:rRNA from 1 species